UGAGGAAUAUUGGUCAAUGGGCGAGAGCCUGAACCAGCCAAAUCGCGUGAAGGAAGACUGCCUUAUGGGUUGUAAACUUCUUUUAUACAGGAAUAAAAAAGGGGACGUGUCCCCUUAUUGCAUGUACUGUAUGAAUAAGCAUCGGCUAACUCCGUGCCAGCAGCCGCGGUAAUACGGAGGAUGCGAGCGUUAUCCGGAUUUAUUGGGUUUAAAGGGUGCGCAGGCGGGCUUUUAAGUCAGCGGUGAAAUCUCGGGCUUAACUCCGAAACUGCCGUUGAAACUGGGAGUCUUGAGUAUGGAUGAAGUAGCGGAAUUCGUUGUGUAGCGGUGACAUGCUUAGAUAUAACGAGGAACUCCGAUUGCGUAGGCAGCUUACUAAGCCAUAACUGACGCUCAAGCACGAAAGCGUGGGGAUCAAACAGGAUUAGAUACCCCUGGUAGUCCACGCCGUAAACGAUGAUUACUAGUUGUAUGCGAUAUACCGUAUGUGACUAAGCGAAAGCGAUAAGUAAUCCACCUGGGGAGUACGCCGGCAACGGUGAAACUCAAAGGAAUUGACGGGGUCAUAGCUG
rnacentral:rRNA from 1 species